rnacentral:lncRNA from 1 species
AAUAUGAUCAUUUUUUAUGGCAACCAUCUCCAACUUUGGCAAGGUGCCUUGGGUGAGAUUCUUAUUUAGGGCUUUGUCUUGAAUAUCUUUUAUUUUUUUCCAAAAAAAUCUGAUAAAAUUGGUUGCUCCAGUCUAGGAUUCUAUCGAUUUUUUUUUAAAAUUUUGAUGCUAUAAUUCUUGAGAAUUGUGGCACUAGUUUCACGGAGGAAUUUGGAUUUUUUUUUUCUGAAAAAUGCUUCUUUUGUUUUUAGUUUUCUUUUUCUAUAAUUAUAUGAAGCUCUAGGAAUUCUGGUAAAAUUUAUUGCUCCGUUCCCCUUUUCUGACAAUUCUUAUUGAGGUAAGGGCUUGAGCUUGCAUGAUUGUUUUUGUAUCAAUUGAUUGAUAGAUUAAGAAACUUCAAUAGUUUUUCUGUAAAUUAUCAAUCAAUUGGCGUCCUUAGAGUUUUAUUUUGUCUUUCUAUUGAGAAAUUUGUUGUUAAAUGUAUAUAGUUGUUAUUGAUUUCUCUGAGCGAUAUGAAUACUGAAUGUUGGGAUUUCUUGUCUAGAGAAUUUAAAUUUUAGAAUUUAUGUUUUGGGAUUGGGGUAAAGGUUAAGCUGUUAAGACGUUUGCAAGUUGUUUAGAAAUGUUUUCUGCUUGAACUGAACAAUAUACUUGAUUCUAUUUUGUUUUUUCACACAGAUCUAGAUUUUCACUUCUCAAUUUGGAGAGUCUAGGCUAUUACUCAUGCUUGAAUCUUUUAGUAUGACUGCUCGAGUUGCUAAGGAUAAGAUGUUUUCCAUAGUGGUAGUUGUAACAUUAAUUGGAAGGCCACCUUGCUACCUAUUGUUUUGUUCUGUGGCAUCCAAUAUUUAGAUAUAAUUUGAGUUUGCGAUUCUUUCCUUUAUUGUAGGAAUUCUUGUUCAAUUUGCUGAUUGGAGUAAUUCAAUGUUGAGUUUAGUAAUUGAAGCUUUACACUUGUUAUAGUCUUUGCAACCUAGUAUGUAUGCUUUUCCCUCUUCUAUUGUUUGCAAGUAUAUAGUGUCUAAUUUUAACUAACCAAAGUUGGCCUACAUCGCGAGACAAAACUACCUUAAGCACUCUUGUAUGGAGCCAAGAGAAGCUGAAAUCAUUAUUGGCAGAGAAGAAUGGAAGGCAUAAACGGGUUGCCCUUUUGUUUUUUCUCCUUUGCUUGUGCAUCUUGAUAGCUGAACAAGGGGACGUGCAAUGGCUGUAUUUGCUUUUCUUCUUUCUUUGUUGUUCCCUCUUGGUGUGUUUGUGAGUUUUGGUUUGGUCUGAACUCUUUAAGAUAUUUAAGUUUUUAACUGGUACUAGUUGAUUUAGAUGGUGAAAUAUCUCAUUUCUUAACUGGUACUAGUAAUAUGGUAUACUUGAUCCAUUGAAUGCCAUUAGCUUGUUGCUUUGGAUGGUAAAAUCUUAUUGGAACAAAUCCUGAAUUUGUUGAAUAAGUGUCUUGCAGUACUAUGUAGAACAAUCGAAGUCAUGAUGAGUCCAUCAAGAUGUAGGACUGACUUCAUGAAUCAGCAGGCGAGGUUCUCUAUUGGUGAUGACUAUUGAAAUUGAUUAAUUUUUUGAAGAUGGGCAAGAAGGGAGAGAAACAGUUCCUAUGGAGCGUUUGAUGCUUGAGAUUCUUGCCAAUGAGGUGAAACAUGGGAAUAGGCCUAACAAUAGCUUUGAAUCAAGUUCAUUUACACGUGUGGUAGACGCCAUGAAAGAUAAGUUUGGGGUUACGUGCUCAGCAGAACAUGUGGAAAAUAGCUGAUCAGUGCUUGAGUUGAGAUCUAUUCUACUUUUGAAUCUGUAUAUCUAGAGAUUGAUUGAAGAUCGGGGGAUCAACUGUCUUCUUGGCUUGUAAUGUAUAUAUUGCCAUUUCUGCAAUGUAGCAGCAGCAAUUGCUACUACACUUGAUGAUUUAUUGCCG